rnacentral:rRNA from 1 species
UACGUAGGGGGCAAGCGUUGUCCGGAUUUAUUGGGCGUAAAAGGCUUGUAGGUGGCCACGCCAAGUCGGAUGUGAAAUCUCCCGGCUCAACUGGGAGGGGUCAUUCGAUACUGGCGGGCUCGAGGCCGGUAGGGGGAAGUGGAAUUCUCGGUGUAGCGGUGAAAUGCGUAGAUAUCGAGAGGAACACCUGCGGCGAAGGCGGGUAGCUGGGCCGACACUGACGCUGAGGCGCGAAAGCGUGGGUAGCAAACGGG